AUUGAACGCUGGCGGCAGGCCUAACACAUGCAAGUCGAGCGGAGCGGCGGACGGGGGCGUAAGGCCUAGGAAUCUGCCUGGUAGUGGUGGAUAACGUCCGGAAACGGACGCUAAUACCGCAUACUCUCCGAUGACCCUAGGUCGGAGUGGCUAGUGGGUGGGGUAAAGGCCUACCGAGGCGUCGAUCCGUAACUGGUCUGAGAGGAUGAGCAGUCAAACUGGAAAUGAGACACGGUCCAGACUCCUACGGGAGGCAGCAGUGGGGAAUAUUGGACAAUGGGCGAAAGCCUGAUCCAGCCAUGCCGCGUGUGUGAAGAAGGUCUUCGGAUUGUAAAGCACUUUAAGUUGGGAGGCGUUACCAACAGAAGAAGCACCGGCUAACUUCGUGCCAGCAGCCGCGGUAAUUC
rnacentral:rRNA from 1 species